GCUCCGUUGGUGUAGUGGUAGCACGUGCCCCUGGUGUGGGUGAAACGAUGGUUCGAUUUUUGCAUGGAGUU